rnacentral:rRNA from 1 species
CACGGGCCCGUACGCUUACCGAGGCACAACAUAGACAGAACAUAGAAAAUUAUUCUCGGGAAAGGGGAGGCAAGUCGUAACAUGGUAAGUGUACCGGAAGGUG